AGCAGCCGUGGUAAUUCCAGCUCCAAUAGCGUAUAUUAAAGUUGUUGCAGUUAAAAAGCUCGUAGUUGAAUUUCGGGAUCAAUAUAUUGGUCGUGCCUUCGGUAUGCACUGGUAUUAUUGAUUUCUACCUUCUGACGAACCAUGAUGUCAUUAAUUUGGUGUCAUGGGGAAUCAGGACUGUUACUUUGAAAAAUUAGAGUGUUUAAAGCAGGCACACGCUUGAAUACAUUAGCAUGGAAUAAUGAAAUAGGACGUUUGAUCUUAUUUUGUUGGUUUCUAGGAUCGACGUAAUGAUUAAUAGGGAUAGUUGGGGGCAUUAGUAUUCAAUUGUCAGAGGUGAAAUUCUUGGAUUUAUUGAAGACUAACUACUGCGAAAGCAUUUGCCAAGGAUGUUUUCAUUAAUCAAGAACGAAAGUUAGGGGAUCGAAGACGAUCAGAUACCGUCGUAGUCUUAACCAUAAACUAUGCCGACUAGGGAUUGGAUGAUGUUAAUUUUUAAUGA
rnacentral:rRNA from 1 species